CAUUUUCAAAUUGACAGACGGCGUUUGCAAAUGGCGACGGGGAAGUCGAUGCAAGUUCCAUGUGUCCAAAUGCAGCAGGUUUCAGGCACAACGGGGGCCCCUCACGGAGCAGAUUAGAAGUUCAAAUCCCGCUGGCGGAGCAAAAAUAAACGCACCGUUACUUGAAACUACUGGCGGCUAUAAGAAACUGAGCAAGCUCCGUGCGCAUAUGCCCACUGAUGUAACCUGGAGGUAAGUUAUAUUGCUGAUGUGUUAGAUUUACUUCUUUGUCCCACAUCAGUGCUUCAGGAUACUGAAUGCUAAA